rnacentral:miRNA from 1 species
UCUGGAGCUGGCUUCCUUCUGC